rnacentral:rRNA from 1 species
AUUGAACGCUGGCGGCAGGCCUAACACAUGCAAGUCGAGCGAGCGGCGGACGGGUGAGUAAUGUCUGGGAAACUGCCUGAUGGAGGGGGAUAACUACUGGAAACGGUAGCUAAUACCGCAUACCAUCAGAUGUGCCCAGAUGGGAUUAGCUAGUAGGUGUGGUAACGGCUCACCUAGGCGACGAUCCCUAGCUGGGCUGAGAGGAGGACAAGCCACACUGGAACUGAGACACGUGCCAGACUCGUACGGUAGGCAGCAGUGGGAAUAUUGCGCAAUGGGCGCAAGCCUGAUGCAGCAAUGACGCGUGUGUGAAGAAGGCCUUCGGGUUGUAAAGCACUUUCAGCGGGGAGGCGUUACCCGCAGAAGAAGCACCGGCUAACUACGUGCCAGCAGCCGCGGUAAUAC